GAUGAACGCUGGCGGCGUGCCUAAUACAUGCCAGUCGAGCGAACGGACGAGAAGCUUGCUUUUCUGAUGUUAGCGGCGGACGGGUGAGUAACACGUGGAUAACCUACCUAUAAGACUGGGAUAACUUCGGGAAACCGGAGCUAAUACCGGAUAAUAUUUUGAACCGCAUGGUUCAAAAGUGAAAGACGGUCUUGCUGUCACUUAUAGAUGGAUCCGCGCUGCAUUAGCUAGUUGGUAAGGUAACGGCUUUCCAAGGCAACGAUGCAUAGCCGACCUGAGAGGGUGAUCGGCCACACUGGAACUGAGACACGGUCCAGACUCCUACGGGAGGCAGCAGUAGGGAAUCUUCCGCAAUGGGCGAAAGCCUGACGGAGCAACGCCGCGUGAGUGAUGAAGGUCUUCGGAUCGUAAAACUCUGUUAUUAGGGAAGAACAUAUGUGUAAGUAACUGUGCACAUCUUGACGGUACCUAAUCAGAAAGCCACGGCUAACUACGUG
rnacentral:rRNA from 1 species